rnacentral:rRNA from 1 species
GUGUCAGCCGCCGCGGUAAGACGAACCGUGCGAACGUUGUUCGGAAUCACUGGGCUUAAAGGGCGCGUAGGCGGCUUGCCAAGUCAGGGGUGAAAUCCAGCAGCUUAACUGUUGAAGUGCCUUUGAUACUGGCGAGCUCGAGGGAGGUAGGGGUAUGCGGAACUUCUGGUGGAGCGGUGAAAUGCGUUGAUAUCAGAAGGAACGCCGGUGGCGAAAGCGGCGUACUGGACCUCUUCUGACGCUGAGGCGCGAAAGCUAGGGGAGCAAACGGGAUUAGAAACCCGCGUAGUCC